UCUGUAUCUCUAUCAUAUUAAAAAAAAAGUCCAAGGAUGGCUGGCCGAGUCUGACUUUUCAACCAAUCAGAGCCGCUACGUUCUGCUGUAUCUGCCUGUGACAUGAUAUGCUGUGUAGCCUGCUAACAAAACACUGCUCCUGAAGCUCCCGAAACGGCUCGUCAGAAGUCUUGCGAUACUUCGUGGCUGACGUGCUUCUCCGGCCAGGUGUCCAUCCUGCCAGGAUGCUGAGGAGGAGCAGCCUGCGUCUGGAAGAUUUGGAUCAAAAGGCAAAAGGACUCUCGGUGUUAUUCAACACUUCUAAAACAUUUCUGAGCUCAGGGUCAGAGGUCAGGGUCAGCUACAGAGCAGCCUCCCCCGGAGGUGGAAGCUAAUACAUCCAUGUGGGGAAGAGACUCAUUGUCCUGCAUAGGCAUGGUACAGCUGAAUGGCUGUUGGCCAACAGAAGGCCUCUCCCGCUCGAACGGCCAUCUCUCUGUCACAACCGCCUCCUGCCAUAUACCAUGCAGCGACUGAGCCCAGCAGUUAUGGCACACAUGUUUGCUAAGAUCGGAUCAGCUGCUGCCUGACUGACCACCCUUCACUCCCCUCGGGGCGUUUUGAAUGGAAGAGUUCCGCGGUACACCCACGCAGAGGCAAAGAGGUGAGGCCCGAGGAAGGUUGUCGACCUCCAUCUAUCAGAGACCAACACCUUGGCACAUCCCAACUUGUAGGCAGGCCCCAAGCAUCCUUUCCUGUCAUUUUUUUUUAGAGCAACCUGUUUUCCCGUGGAGCUGAAUAAAAAAAAAUUGAAUUACUUCAAGUUCUGCUGUGAAGCAUUAAACCGGCACUGACU